rnacentral:lncRNA from 1 species
CUUCCGAUCUGUGAUUUUUCGGGAGUUGACCAUCUGUGUAUUACUAAUCUGUGGGACAACCUUUCCGCAAUCACAUCGGAAUCGCAGUCCUUGCUACCAUGUGCAUGCCGCCAUCACACCGGAAUCGACAGCUGCACUGCCUACCGAACAGUCUUGUAUCAGCACAUCGAACAUUGGCCAAGGAUUUCCCGGCACUUCGGGAAGUGGCCGGCCAAAGUAAUAUAGACUCUAGUCAUUUCCAGUACAUCGGACAUUGGCCAAACGCCACCGCCAAAGUGCGAAAUGGCCGGCCAAUUCGGGAACUGGCCGAACUUCGGGCUU